UCGGGUCUACCGAGGAACUCCCCAACCCCUGUGAACAUACCUUAAUGUUGCCUCGGCGGAUCAGCCCGCGCCCCGUAAAACGGGACGGCCCGCCAGAGGACCCAAACUCUAAUGUUUCUUAUUGUAACUUCUGAGUAAAACAAACAAAUAAAUCAAAACUUUCAACAACGGAUCUCUUGGUUCUGGCAUCGAUGAAGAACGCAGCAAAAUGCGAUAAGUAAUGUGAAUUGCAGAAUUCAGUGAAUCAUCGAAUCUUUGAACGCACAUUGCGCCCGCUGGUAUUCCGGCGGGCAUGCCUGUUCGAGCGUCAUUUCAACCCUCAAGCCCCCGGGUUUGGUGUUGGGGAUCGGCUCUGCCUUCUGGCGGUGCCGCCCCCGAAAUACAUUGGCGGUCUCGCUGCAGCCUCCAUUGCGUAGUAGCUAACACCUCGCAACUGGAACGCGGCGCGGCCAUGCCGUAAAACCCCAACUUCUGAAUGUUGACCUCGGAUCAGGUAGGAAUACCCGCUGAACUUAAGCA
rnacentral:rRNA from 1 species